rnacentral:tRNA from 1 species
AGGUGUAGUUCAAUUAUAGAAUGCUUGCCUAGCAUUCAUGAGGCCUUGGGUUCAAUCCCCAGUACAUCUA